rnacentral:rRNA from 1 species
UAUCUCUGUAGAGUCUGCAUAUCAAUAAGCGGAGGAAAAGAAACUAACUAAGGAUUCCCUUAGUAACGGCGAGUGAAGCGGGAAGAGCUCAAAUUUGAAAUCUUCAGGUUCUACCUUGACGAAUUGUAGUUUAAAGAAGUGUUUUCUGUUAGAUGAGUAGCAAAAGUUCCUUGGAAUGGGACAUCAUAGAGGGUGAGAAUCCCGUAUUUGGUUAUUCAUUCUAGCUUUGUGAUACACUUUCAAAGAGUCGGAUUGUUUGGGAAUGCAGUCCAAAAUGGGUGGUAAAUUUCAUCUAAAGCUAAAUAUUGGCGAGAGACCGAUAGCGAACAAGUACCGUGAGGGAAAGAUGAAAAGAACUUUGAAAAGAGAGUUAAACAGUACGUGAAAUUGUCAAAAGGGAAGCGUUUGACACCAGUGUUGUUUUUCCGAAAAUCAAUUACGAAUGGCUUGAUUCUGUGUUGUAUUGACCUUAUCAGCUUUCUUCACCUUUUUUCGAGUCUUUCUUAAUGCACUUUUCGGUUAACAAGUCAACAUCAAUUUCUUUUGUUGUAAAAGAGUAUUCGGAAGGUGGCUUUCUUUUCGGAGAAAGUGUUUAUAGCCCUAUACUUCUACAAUCGGAGAGAUUGAGGUCUGCAGCGUAGAUCCUUCGGGGUUAGAUACACUUGUGCUAAGUUGUAGCUUUUCAUAGACAACUUGUUGACUAUGUUUAGUCAUGCGGCUUACUCGCUUGUGCUAUUUUACCUACGCUUAGGAUGUUGAAGAUGUAGCACAUCAU